GUCCUGAUGCGCAGUGGCAGUAUCGUAGCCAAUGAGGUUUAUCCGAGGUGCGAUUAUUGCUAAUUGAUAAUUUAUAAAACUUGUGUUAUAUAACUUCUGUGUCCAAAUUAAUUGUUAACGAGCUCUUUCCAUAGA